GGGCCAAGCAGGCAUAGCUGGAAUUGCAGGACCUGGAGGAGCAAGAGGAGCACAGGGUGAAAUUGGAGUCCGGGGGCUUCCUGGAUUGGAUGGUCCUGAAGGAAUGAAGGGAAAGCCAGGAUCUCAUGGUGCGAUUGGACCCAGUGGUGCUACCGGACUGGCGG